AGUAGCAGGAGUCCGACGACACUCCGGAACAUCCCGUGAGUCGCGAAGCCAGGGCUUGCUGCACUGCAGGGCGAAACCUCAAGGGAGAAAAUACAGGAGCUGAAAAAUGAUCGGCUCAAGACACCGAACGAUCCCGGAGUGCAGGGUGACGUCACUGUCUUCAAAAUCCGCUGCUGACUGAACGUCAAAGCAAAAAGCAGGGAUGUGAAUCUGAACUGACUGCACUCCUCAUGAAAAGAUAAAGACAGCUGAGCGAAACGGAAAGCUGAUGGAGGAAAAAGCGGGAGUUGACCAAUAAACGAGUAUGGCAAAGGCCUCAGCGAGGAGGAUACUGUGAGGAGAACCUAUGGUUGAUCAUCUGAAGCUGAAGAUUCACGUGUGAGAGGGGAAAAUAAUAAGGAUAAAAAGAUCUGGGAAAUCUUUACCCGGGAUCCUGCGCACAAGCUCGACGUCUGUUGGACUGCUCUAUUUCCACCUGUAAAUGGAUAUUCAGCAAGUUGAUUUACUUUAUAGGAGCAAGAUAACAGUGUCAGGUAUUUGCAAUAUUUGUCUGCACUUGUUGAGCUUUUUAAUAAAUCAUCUGGACUUGUGUUUAUGCCACAUAUACAACGUGUGAGCUUUAAACUGCGUGAGACAUCAGAGAAUGUGAAAAUGAUGGUGUAUUAAGAGCUAGGACUAAGAAAAUAAAACACUUUUGCAGGUAAAAUCAUCAUAGAUGAAAACAUUAACCUGAAAUGUGCAGACGAGACGCACGUGAGCGCUUGGUGUUGAGUUUUAAUAAUCGGCACAGAAGUGAAUAUUAUAUGAAACGUUACUUGUUCUAAUUAAAUAAUAACAUAUAUGUAGACUGGAAUGCGUUUGUUGUGACUCUGGUAAUAAGAACGCGUGCGUAAAACGAGCGCAAGAGACGUCUGCAGAAGUGUGUGUAGAAAUAUAUGAACAUUACAGGUGCCAGUUUUUUUAGGCUUGUGCUUUUUAUAAUUGUGUGGUCUGCAUAUUUAUGGCGUCCUAAGAGUUUGUUUAGAGUGUUGAUUUAAGCUUUAAGGGUUGAACGGAGGGUUUGUUCUGUCAUGCGUUCGCUGUCCAGUGCACGUGGUGCUGAAACGCGCUGCAGCUGCUGACGUACCACACGUGGCCUACAUGAGCUUAGACGUAAAGAUUAUGCUUUUUAAACUUAUUCUUUCGCUAGAUGUGUUUAUUUUAUUGUGUGAUUAUUUGAUACACUGCAUUAGUAGCUUUAGGACGCAUUUGGAGUCUAAUAAAUGUGAAACAUUAGUCCUACUGGGGUCAAAGGGGUACAGGAAAAGGAAGGAGCAUGUUUGAAAUUAAACAACGACAAAUGUAGAUUGAGUUAGCGUUGGGAUUUCUGAUGUAGAUCAAUGAGCAUCGAAGACUGACAGCUGGAAUGUGUAAUGCGCUACUUGAGAGAGUGAGACGAUACGUGUGUAUGUGUGAGUGUGUGUGAGGGAGAG